UACGGAGGGGGCUAGCGUUAUUCGGAAUUACUGGGCGUAAAGCGCACGUAGGCGGCUUUGUAAGUUAGAGGUGAAAGCCCGGGGCUCAACUCCGGAAUUGCCUUUAAGACUGCAUCGCUAGAAUUGUGGAGAGGUAAGUGGAAUUCCGAGUGUAGAGGUGAAAUUCGUAGAUAUUCGGAAGAACACCAGUGGCGAAGGCGACUUACUGGACACAUAUUGACGCUGAGGUGCGAAAGCGUGGGGAGCAAACAGG
rnacentral:rRNA from 1 species